AGUGAACGCUGGCGGUAUGCCUAACACAUGCAAGUCGAACGGCAGCACAGUAAGAGCUUGCUCUUACGGGUGGCGAGUGGCGGACGGGUGAGGAAUACAUCGGCAUCUACUUUUUCUUGGGGGAUAACGUAGGGAAACUUACGCUAAUACCUCAUACGACCUACGGGUGAAAUCAGGAGAUCUUCGGACCUUGCGCGAUUGAAUUAGACGAUGUCGGAUUAGCUAGUUGGCGGGGUAAAGGCCCACCAAGGCGACGAUCCGUAGCUGGUCUGAGAGGAUGAUCAGCCACACUGGAACUGAGACACGGUCCAGACUCCUACGGGAGGCAGCAGUAGGGAAUAUUGGACAAUGGGCGCAAGCCUGAUCCAGCAAUACCGCGUGGGUGAAGAAGGCCUUCGGGUUGUAAAGCCCUUUUGUUGGGAAAGAAAAGAAGCAGGUGAAUACCCCGCUGUUUUGACGGUACCCAAAGAAUAAGCACCGGCUAACUUCGUG
rnacentral:rRNA from 1 species